AGACAUGAAAAUAUUCCUCUCAUUAUACAGGUGGGCGCCUAUUGAACUAAGACAUGAAAAUAUUCCUCUCAUUAUACAGGUGGGCGCCUAUUGAACUAAGACAUGAAAAUAUUCCUCUCAUAUACAGGUGGUCGCCUAUUUAUUUAAGACAUGAAAAUAUUCCUCUCAUUAUACAGGUGGGCGCCUAUUGAACUAAGACAUGAAAAUAUUCCUCUCAUUAUACAGGUGGGUGCCUAUUUAUCUAAGACAUGAAAAUAUUCCUCUCAUUAUACAGGUGGGCGCCUAUUGAACUAAGACAUGAAAAUAUUCCUCUCAUUAUACAAGUGGGCGCCUAUUGAACUUAAGACAUGAAAAUAUUCCUCUCAUUAUACAGGUGGGCGCCUAUUGAACUAAGACAUGAAAAUAUUCCUCUCAUUAUACAGGUGGGCGUCUAUUGAACUUAAGAAAUGAA
rnacentral:lncRNA from 1 species